AAUUCUAUUUUUGUGUUUACCAAGUGGGGUUUUGCUUGUACAACGUUGGAAGACCUAACCUCAGUUCGAUUAUUAUUGGUUGAGGUAUGAAAGCGUUAUUGGGACUGCAACCAAGAUAUAAAGAAGAUCGGGAAUGAAUCAAUGAUGCGGUGUGGUACAAGAAAUUGUCUUCAAAAAAUUAACUGGAUUUUGCACCUGAGUCUGACAUCGUAGAAGGACCAUUCUUGCAUCAGAUUGGAUUUGUACCUGAGUCUGACAUCGUAGAAGGACCAUUCUUGCAUCAGAUUGUGGGAAUUUUGCACCUGAGUCUGACAUGGUAGAAGGAUCAUUCUUGCAUCAGAUUGAGGACUACUUUUUGCUGCUUUUAUGGAUUUUGCACCUGAGUCUGACAUUGUAGAAAGACAAUUCUUCCGUCAGAUUGACUAAUUUUUGCUGUUUUUAUGGAUUUUGCACCCGA